rnacentral:rRNA from 1 species
UACAGAGGUCUCAAGCGUUGUUCGGAUUCAUUGGGCGUAAAGGGUGCGUAGGCGGCGCGGUAAGUCGGGUGUGAAAUCUUGGAGCUUAACUCCGAAACUGCAUUCGAUACUGCCGUGCUUGAGGACUGGAGAGGAGACUGGAAUUUACGGUGUAGCGGUGAAAUGCGUAGAUAUCGUAAGGGAGACCAGUGGCGAAGGCGGGUCUCUGGACAGUUCCUGACGCUGAGGCACGAAGGUCAGGGGAGCAAACGGG